rnacentral:lncRNA from 1 species
UUCAAUCCCUCCUACAAUAGCAAACUUGAGGAAUUUAACCACUUUGUAUCUUUAUGAAAACAAGCUUUCUGGUUCCAUCCCUCAUGAAAUUGGAUUGUUGAGAUCUCUUAAUGAUCUUGACUUGUCAAAUAACAAUCUCAGUGGUCUCAUCCCACCUUCCAUAGGAAACUUGAGGAAUUUAACCACUUUAUAUCUUCAAAAAAACAAGCUUUCUGGUUCUAUCCCUCAAGAAAUUGGAUUGUUGAGAUCUCUUAAUGAUCUUGCGUUCUAUACUAACAAUCUUAGUGGUCCCAUCCCAUCUUCCAUAGGAAACUUAAGGAAUUUAACCACUUUGCAUCUUUAUGAAAACAAGCUUUCUGGUUCCAUCCCUCAUGAAAUUGGAUUGUUCAGAUCUCUUAAUGAUCUUGCGUUGUCUACUAACAAUCUUAGUGGUCCCAUCCCACCUUCCAUAGGAAACUUGAGGAAUUUAACCACUUUGCAUCUUUAUGAAAACAAGCUUUCUAGUCCCAUCCCUCAUGAAAUUGGAUUGUUCAGAUCUCUUAAUGAUCUUGAGUUGUCAACUAACAAUCUCAGUGGUCCUAUCCCACCUUCCAUAGGAAACUUGAGGAAUUUAACCACUUUGUAUCUUGAUGAAAACGAGCUUUCUAGUUACAUCCCUCAUGAAAUUGGAUUGUUGAGAUGUCUUAAUGAUCUUGUGUUGCAUAUUAACAAUCUCAAUGGUCCCAUCCCGCUUUCCAUAGGAAACUUGAGGAAUUUAACCACUUUGUAUCUUUAUGAAAAAAAGCUUUCUGGUUCCAUCCCUCAUGAAAUUGGAUUUUUGAGAUCUCUUAAUGAUCUUGACUUGUCAAAUAACAAUCUCAGUGGUCCUAUCCCACCUUCCAUAGGAAACUUGAGGAAUUUAACCACUUUGUAUCUUUAUGAAAACAAGCUUUCUGGUUCCAUCCCUCAUGAAAUUGGAUUGUUGAGAUCUCUUAAUGAUCUUGAGUUUUCAAAUAACAAUCCCAGUGGCCUCAUCCCACCUUCCAUAGGAAACUUGAGGAAUCUAACCACUUUGUAUCUUCAUAAAAACAAGCUUUCUGGUUCUAUCCCUCAAGAAAUUGGAUUGUUGAGAUCUCUUAAUGAUCUUGAGUUGUCAACUAAUAGUCUCAGUGGUCCUAUAUCGCCUUCCAUAGGAAACUUGAGGAAUUUAACCACUUUGUAUCUUUAUGAAAACAAGCUUUUUGGUUCCAUCCCUCAUGAAAUUGGAUUGUUGAGAUCUCUUAAUGAUCUUGACUUGUCAAAUAACAAUCUCAGUGGUCUCAUCCCACCUUCCAUAGGAAACUUGAGGAAUUUAACCAUUUUGUAUCUUCAGAAAAACAAGAUUUCUGGUCCCAUCCCUCAAGAAAUUGGAUUGUUGAGAUCUCUUAAUGAUCUUGCGUUCUAUACUAACAAUCUCAGUGGUCCCAUCCCACAUUCCAUAGGAAACUUAAGGAAUUUAACCACUUUGCAUCUUUAUGAAAACAAGCUUUCUGGUCCCAUCUCUCAUGAAAUUGGAUUGUUCAGAUCUCUUAAUGAUCUUGAGUUGUCAAUUAACAAUCUCAGUGGUCCUAUCCCACCUUCCAUAGGAAACUUGAGGAAUUUAACCACUUUGUAUCUUGAUGAAAAAAAGCUUUCUGGUUCCAUCCCUCAUGAAAUUGGAUUGUUGAGAUCUCUUAAUGAUCUUGCGUUCCAUACUAACAAUCUCAAUGGUCCCAUCCCGCCUUCCAUAGGAAACUUGAGGAAUUUAACCACUUUGCAUCUUUAUGAAAACAAGCUUUCUGGUCCCAUCCCUCAUGAAAUUGGAUUGUUCAGAUCUCUUAAUGAUCUUGAGUUGUCAACUAACAAUCUCAGUGGUCCUAUCCCACCUUCCAUAGGAAACUUGAGGAAUUUAACCACUUUGUAUCUUGAUGAAAACGAGCUUUCUAGUUACAUCCCUCAUGAAAUUGGAUUGUUGAGAUGUCUUAAUGAUCUUGCGUUGCAUACUAACAAUCUCAAUGGUCCCAUCCCGCCUUCCAUAGGAAACUUGAGGAAUUUAACCACUUUGUAUCUUUUUGAAAAAAACUUUCUGGUUCCAUCCCUCAUGAAAUUGGAUUGUUGAGAUCUCUUAAUGAUCUUGACUUGUCAUUUAGCAAUCUUAGUGGUCCCAUCCCAUCUUCCAUUGGAAACUUGAGGAAUUUAACUAGAUUAGUUUUUAUGUAUAACAAAAUCAAUGGCUCCACUCCUUUGGAAAUAAGACACCUUACACAUUUGAAAUCUUUACAGUUAGUUGGGAAUAAUUUGAAGGGCCAACUACCACAAGAGAUAUGUCUUGGUGGAGUACUUGAAAAUUUUAUAGCUGAAGGAAAUAGUCUCACUGGAUCUAUCCCAAGGAGCUUGAGAAACUGCACUAGCUUGUUCAGAGUUAGGCUUGAAAGAAACCAACUUGCAGGAAAUAUAACAAAAGAUUUUGGUAUAUACCCAAAUUUAUGUUAUAUUGAUUUAAGCUACAACAACUUGUAUGGUGAGCUUUCACAUAAAUGGGGGCAGUGCAAGAGCUUGACAAGCCUGAAAAUCUCCAAUAACAAUAUUUAUGGUAUGAUACCACAUCAGCUUAGGGAGGCAACCAAACUAGAACAACUUGACCUCUCUUCAAAUCAUCUUGUUGGGGAGAUACCAAAAGAAUUAGGUAUGUUGAAGUCAUUGUUCAAAUUGUUGCUAGGCAACAACAAUCUUUCAGGUAGCAUUCCUUUGGAAUUAGGAAAUUUGUCCAAUCUCGCACAUCUUGACUUGGCAUCAAACCAUUUAAGUGGUCCAAUUCCCCAACAAGUCCGAAACAUUGGUAAAUUGUUGUCCUUGAAUUUGAGCAAGAAUAAGUUUGGGGAAAGCAUUCCUGUUGAGAUUGGGAAUGUGAUCAUUCUUGAGAGUCUUGACCUUUGUCAAAAUAGGCUGACAGGAGAGCUACCACAACAGCUCGGACAACUACAAAGCUUGGAAACAUUGAAUCUCUCCCAUAACAACCUCUCGGGUACCAUCCCACUCACUUUUGAUCAUUUGCAAGGCCUGACAUCCAUAGAUAUAUCUUAUAAUCAGUUGGAAGGUCCUCUACUCAACCUUAAAGCCUUUCAAGAUGCUUCGUUUGAGGCAUAAAGAAAUAACAAAGGUUUGUGCGGUAACAUCACUGGUCUUGAGGCAUGUAACACCAGUAGAAAGAAGGGGAACAUAUUAUUUAUUUUGAUUAUACUCCUUAUUUUGAGCAUUUUGUUGCUUUCAUUUAUUUCUUGUGGGAUUUAUUUUCUUUAUGGAAGAAUAAGGAGUAGAAAAAUCAAUUCUAGAGAAGCACCAAUUGAAGAUCUAUUUGCAAUAUGGGGUCAUGACGGGGAAAUGUCAUAUGAACACAUCAUUGAGGGGACUGAAGAUUUCAACUCCAAAAAUUAUAUUGGCACUGGAGGAUAUGGAACUGUUUACAAGGCCGAGUUACCAACAGGUCCAAUUGUUGCUGUGAAAAAACUUCACUCAACACAAGAUGGAGAGAUGGCUGAUUUGAAAUCUUUCAAAAGUGAGAUUCAAGCUUUAGCAAACAUUCGGCAUCGCAACAUUGUCAAGCUUUAUGGAUUUUGUUCAUGUUCAAAAAACUCAUUUUUGGUUUAUGAGUUCAUGGAAAAGGGAAGUUUGAGAAACAUUCUAAGCAACAAGGAAGAAGCAAUAGAGUUUGAUUAGGUUUUGAGGCUAAAUGUUGUUAAAGGCAUGGUUGAAGCUUUAUCUUAUAUGCACCAUGAUUGCUCCCCUCCUUUAGUUCAUCGAGACAUAUCGAGCAACAAUGUUCUGUUAGAUUCAAAAAGUAAAGCUCAUGUAUCCAACUUCGGAACAGCUCGGAUUCUGAAGUCAGACUCAUCUAAUUGGACGUCAUUUGCAGGAACUUUUGGUUAUAUUGCUCCAGGUGAUUUUUCUUCUUGUCUUGCUUAUCUCUGAACUACAUCCAUACAUAUUUCUUAGUGUGUUAUUUAUCGCAUUGGGUCGAACAAUAUACUCAACCUUUAAUACCUCAAAAUUUUUGUGAAGUCGUACAAGUUGUCCUUCUGCUCAGAAAUUAGGAUGAACAUGCUAAUUUCUUUCUUUGCAAUUUCCAUGUUUAAUAGCUAGCUCUUUAAUAUUCUAUUUCUCUCUAUACAAGUUUUCUUAAUUGCUUUCUACAUUACUUGUUUGUUUAGAGUAUAAUAUUAAAUAUUACCUAUUUUUUUAGGGCUAUAAACUUAUGGUGAUGUGAAAUUCCAAUAGAUGCAUGGUAGAAUUAAUAACACAACUUUUAUAAUUAUUUAGCAGAAAAGAGCAUAUGAUAAAAUCUUCCUUAAUUGCAGAACUUGCUUACGUGUCAAAUGUGGAUAAUAAAACAGAUGUUUACAGCUUUGGAGUGGUAACAUUGGAAGUUAUUUUUGGAAAGCAUCCUGGGGAACUCAUCUCAUCACUCUUAUCAUCAGUGUCUUCAUCAUCCUCAUCGCCAUCAACUAUCUAUCAUUUACUGUUGAAUGAAAAGAUAGACCAGCGUCUCGCACCUCCUGUAAAUCAAGUGGCCGAGGAAGUAGUGGUUGUAGUGAAGCUAGCACUUGCAUGCUAAUCCCCAAUCUCGACCAACCAUGCGACAAGUUUGUCAGACACUCUCAAGACAGUGUCCACCAUUGUCAAAGCCUUUCUCCAUGAUUACUUUGGGUGAAAUGCUAGGUCAUGGAGGUGAAAGUAGCUGAGGGUCUUCACUUCUCCAUCUAUUAUGUGUAUAUUUGUUAUCAAGCAUUAUGUGUGCGUUGGAUUUUAUUUUUCAUUUUGUCUUGGAUUUCUGUUUUCUUAUUUCAUUCAAGUAUAGUUUGCACAAAAAGGUUUUGUAAUCUGCUUUAUAAACCAAGUGUUAUGAAGUAGCUUUUGGUGAAGCUUUGAUUCAUUAAGAAUUGCCUGAUUAUUAAGUCUAUAAAUAAGUUGAUAAUGAAAAUCACUCUAAAUAAGUCUUCAUCUAUCCAAGUAAACCCACAGUUCCAUCCAUCCCAUGUGGUCACUCAUUAUUAUUGCAUCCCUAUUAUCCCCACCAACUUGUGCUACAAGAUAUAUAACUAUAUAUGUUUGGAACACCAUAAAACCAUUUCUCAUUUAUUAUUAUAUAUGAAUUAUCUUGGAAAGAGUGUUUGAAUGUCUUUAUUGAGAAAAAAAACGCACAAUGGGAGUUUAUUCAUUUAAAAUCAAGUUUACUUUCAUAUAUUUGAAAAUAUUUAAAGAAUUAUAUGUUUUGUAGAAAGGAAUGGUUAUGAUUAAAGUUCCAAACAAAUAUUACCAUCUUUUCUUCUACGGAAGUGUAAUGACUAUUUUUUUAACAAUCAUUUAGUAGUAUAAAUAUUUAAAAAUUUUCAUGAAGGUUAUCUAUAGAGAAGGGUUUGUUAUUAAACCUUCCUUUUGUACUCUAUCUUAACUUCAAAAUCAAAAUUAUGAGAAUGAAAUUAAUUUAAUAAAAUUUUUAUUUAGAAUAUGGAGAUUAAAGCUAGCAGCCAAUUAUCCUCAAGAAGUUACUGUUAGAUGUCCAAUUUUGAAACAUUCUAAGUGUCUCACAAUUACUUGGUUUCUCACACAUGGUUCAACCCCUUUUUAAUUCAAUUUUAAGGUGACAAAUGGCUUUAUUUCAUUUAAGCAAUUAGUCACUAACCAUUGAAUUUUCAGUCACCUACUCAAACAAGCAGUUCACUAAGUUGUCAGCUUACUACUAUUAGGAAAAGUUUUACAGAAAAAAAUACUUACUCUUAAUUAUCUUUCAAUUAGUUUGAUAAGCUUGUUAACCAACUAACCAACUUCUUUAAUUUAUUAACCAAGCAAUUUACUAACCAAGCCAUUAAUCUUAAUAAAUGAAUUAAACAAACUUAAAUUAACCCUUAAUUAUUAAAUUCUGGUCAUGAUGUGUUUCGUUUAUAUUGCUAUUAUGAAUACUUCGUCUAAUCAACCACAUUGUACAAAGCAUAGUUGUAAGCGGAUAUACGAAGGAGACAAUAAUGGGAUCGUUGUGGUUUGGUAAGUGUGUUCACAAUAGUUCAUGAAUUUGGGCGACUCAGUAGUUAUUGUGGGAUAUCACCCCCCUAAAUAUUAGUGGGAUGAUUUGUCUUAGUCAUUGGAGUGGAACUUUGAGGUGGAUGUGCUAAUGUGAAUGUGUAUUAAAAUAGACCUAUGGAGACAAUGUGUCUUAUGCUAUCAGGUUGAAAUAUUAAAUCUCCAAGCACUAUCUUGCAUGAAUUCUUAAUCCUUGGUGAUUUUCAAGCUAAUAUUAGCUUGAAUUGGUAAUCACUUUGAGUCACGACCUUUUGUGGUUAUAUAUAUGCUCUAGUUAUUAGGUGAUUACUUGAUUAAGCAUGUAGUGAGAUUAUACUCAAGAUGGGCACUAUGAUAUUCCAAUGGGAUAGUAAUAUCUUUUUUGAGAAAUCCUAAAUUGUAUAAUAAAAGUUAAAUCUUUUGUCAUGGUGAUUUCAUUAACUUGGAAUUGAUAUUAAUAUCCUUUUAGGAUAUUAUAAUACUAGUUAUGAUAGCAAAGUUGGAUCUGUAACUCUCAAAAGAAUAGGAUAUAAUUUAAUUAGAUGAUAGCUUAAUUCUAAUUAAAUUAUAGAUAUCAAUCAUGAGGAACAAGUGCAAGGAAAUAGUAGGUCAUGGGACAAGUUUUUUUUUUAUUAUUAUUAUUUUAAAUUUGACUUCAUUUAAUUAAUUUGCCUAAAGUAGUGAAGUGUAAUCAAUCUUCUUUGAUGGAAAGAAUAAUUGAUUUUGUGGAAUUAUGUGUGAUUAAUUCCAUGGGAGCCACACACUUUUAGAUCCUAAUGGUCUCAACUCAAACUAUCCAAUAGUUUGUGCAUUUUUUGAAGGAGUGGUAGAUGAGAGGUAGGUAUGUCUUGUGGUCUAAGGUGCAUUUCGAAGAAAAAUGGAUGCUGAAAUUAAUGGGUGAAUUCAAGACCCUAAGGGUAUUUUAUUUAUUUAUUUUCUUUCAAGGUUAAUCUCUACAUAAAGCACUUAAUGUUUUAGGGUUGUAAAGAUCCUUUUGGAGAGAAUUUUCAAAUUUAUUCUAUAAAUUCAAUACCCUUCUUUUCCUUUCCUCAUCCAAUUCUAGAUAGCUCUCACACAAUCAAGAUUGGUAGAAUCAUGGGUGGAAGGAUAAAGGAUGUUGAAGCAUUCACAUUUAGAAAAAAAAAAAAAAAAAACCAUAUGUAAAAAUCUAGUUUUUUUCUUCACAUAUGAUAAAUCUUUUAAAAACAUUCCCUGCAUCCUUGUUCAAAGAACUAAACUAACAGUUUAAACAAAUUUUGUGUAAAAGUUGAGUGUGUAAAAGUUGAGAGCUUCCUUUGCUUCUAUUCUUGCAAAAGUAAUGAAUAAAUCUUAUAAAUAUGUGGAAAAUGUUUCCUUAAUAAAAUCUAGCUCUAAAUGCAAAAUAACUCUCAUGAAGUCCCUAAAAAAAUUACAUUGCUCAAUCUUGAUGGAGUAGAUGUAUAAUAGCCAUAUAAAGCAAUCCAAUAUGAAGACAUAUGAUCCAAUUCAUUCCACAAAAUUUUCAAGCUUGUAUGAUACAUAGUGACUGAUAGAUCUUUUUUGUACACUAUUUGAUAUCGAUGGUAUUAUUCAAUUUUGAAAAACUCUCUUCCAACUCCUUCCAAAUUGCUUCAAUAAUAUCGAUGUAAAUGAUGUUAAUCAUACCUUUUAGUGCAAUCGAGUGAAUAAACCAUGAGAUAUAACCAUGUCAUUGACACAAUCCAUUAUUGAUACUUAAAUUUGAUUUUUUUUUUUUAUAUGGCUUAGGAAUUGACCCAUAAAACCCAAUUUUUUUUGCCUAUAGAGCCAUAUGCAUUGAUCAAUACCAAGUAUUGUAAUUAUUUCCAUUAAGUGGUAGAGAUACAAGAACAUUAAUGGAGUUAUUGAAGACAUAGAACAUAAAAAGGUUUGAGAAACCAUCCAAAACUUGACUUUACAAACUAUCAGCUUGGCUUGCUAUAGUUUCAACUAAGGAAGCCACAAAGAAAAGUAAAUCAACUAGAACAAGACCUAAAACUUUGAUACCGUAUCAAAAGGAACAUAAUAAAAAUAAUAUAUAUAUAUAUAUAUAUAUAUAUAUAUAUAUAUAUAUAUAUAUGUUAGGACAUUGAGUCUUGUUUGUAUGUUGGCAAUUUUGUUCCAAUUUAUGUUUAGCCAUAGAAGCCCUUUUAGAUAGUGACUUACUCUCCACUAAAGAUCAAGAGUUACAGUUCAUCCAACCAAGCAGUCAUAGGUAUGCCUAAAGGGUUUGGCUUGUGGCAAAGUUAGUAUUUUAAGAGGUACAAAGAGGAAUGAUACAUCUUCCAAAAAUAAAUUUUUGAUAUUUUAUAGAAGUAGGGGUCGCUCAAGUGGAUAGUAAUGCCCAAGCGAUAGGACAACUCAAGCACUUAGCACUGCUUAAGCUCUUAAGGCACUCAAGCAAUAGUUAAGUUCGAUCGAAUGCUCAUGCCUUUUCUACAGGGAUUUGGGAGAAUAUUCUUGAGAAUUUCGUAGAAAUUUUAUUUAGAAACCUUAUGAUACAAAACCUCUUCAACAUAUUUGCCUAUAAAUACCUCAUUAUAACCCUUCUAGGAUAAGAGAUCUUAAAAAUUUAGAGAGGGUUUCAUUAAGGAGAAAGACUAACAAACUACACUAUCCUUCAUCUCUCAUUCGAAGGAUUCAAGCACUAAAUCUUGGGUUGAAGACCUUCAUCCCUUCAGCGAGGCUAAAGCGUAUUCACUAUAGAAAUAAGAGAUUAUUGUGUCUUGGAUGUAGAUCAAGUUGUAGGUACUAGAGAGCACGUCUUUAAGGUAAAAUGGCUAGACAAAUCUAUGUAACUUGAUCUCAUAUAGUGGACUUAGAUUGGUGAUCUCAGACCUCAUAGUUUUUUAUUUCCAUAGUUAGUGUGGGAGUUUUCUAUGUAAAAAUCAUUGUGCUUAUUUGCAUAUCUUUAUUAUCUUUCUUAUAUUACAUAUUGUUGAAAGAGUUGAUUAUCCCUAACACCUCAUAAGGAAAAUUUGAGUAUAACAUAUAAAUAUUUAUUUAAAAAAAUUUAAAUUACACCCAUUCACCCCCCCUCUGGGUGUUACCCUACUUGACUUUGAUUUUUCAAUAUAUAUAUAUUUCUUUAAACAAAAAACAAAAAAAAAAUUCAUACAAAGAAAAAUUAGACAUUGAUUUCUUAGAGAAAUCAUACUCAUAUCAAUAAGGAAAAUAAUGUUAUAAGAUCCUAUAAGGAGAAAAUCAUGCUAGUAGUUGAAUUGCAUAUAUUUUUCUUGAUAGGAUACUAAAUUGAAUGGGUUCUCAUGUACAUAGCCAUAAUGGAUAUUGACAUAAUUUAACAUUUGGUUACUAGAUAAUACCAUAUCCAAUUAGAACACAAGUAUAUAUAUCUAUACCUAGGUAUUAUCUUAAUCAUUUUUUUUUCAUUUUUUUUAUUUUUUAUUUUUUUAAAUAAGAUGGUUAACAAAGGAGAAUGAAUGUUAUCUAGAAUCUGACUAACACCUAAUUGGAGCUCAAAUCACAACAAAUAAGAGGAGCCUAGAGUUAAUAGCUACUAAUGAUUCUAAAAUUCUAUGCCUUGAGCAACAUAGUUUCUUUGGCUCCAAAAAUACUAAAUGUAUGAAUAAAAAUAGUUAUUCCUUUUCACCAUCUUUGAUUCCUAGGAACAACUCUUUCUUAACCCUCACAAAUAAUCAUUCCAUGUAUUAAAGCAUCUAAGGAUAAUUAUUUGUGCAAGACACUUCAUAGAGAUGAACAAGGCAUCUUAGCCCACCCAUUGUUUGUAUUAAGGCUUUAGCCUAAAUCAGCUUGAUAUAAAUUAUUGGUUCAGUAUUAUAUAACAACUUACAAUAUAUAUACAUGUGUGUCUCUAUAUGUGUGUGUGUCAAAUUUAUAGCUUAGUAAAGUAUAAAAGCUUAGAAUAGACCAUGACUUUGAACCUAAUUAAAUAGUUAUUUCCCCUAUUUAUUAGACUUUAUUGACUCACAUGCAAGCCCAAAAAAAGUAGGAUAUUAGGGUUAUAACCAAUGUUUUUAGACUCGAAUCGGUUAUUGAACUGGAAAAGUUACCAGUUCACGGUUUACUGGUCGAAUCGGCAGUCAAAUCGGUGACAUCAUAAAUAUAUAUAUAUUUUAUAUAUUAUUAAAAUUUAAAAAAAUUAAAAAUAAUAAUAAAUUCUAUCUAAAUUUUGACAACAUCUACUUUGUUUGUUGAGUUUUUUCACAAAUUUUUUUACCUGUAGAAGUCAUCAAUCAUCAUAUAUAAUAUCUAUAACACAAUAUAAGAUGUUAUACAUUCAUAAUGUCAAUAAACCCAAUAUUUAUCAAAUAAUCAAACCAUUGUUAUCCUACAAUGACCAAAUUAUCAAAAAGUUGUUAACUUAACACAUUAUCCAUAAUAGAUAAUACAAAUGUCAACCACAACACUUAAACAGUUACUCAAAAUAUAACAUGUCAAUGUUUGAGUAUUCAUGAAUAUUUUUGCAUUCUAAUAAAUAUAAAAUUCAUGUCUUCAUUCAUUUUGGAAAUUGGAAUAUAAAGAUUGAAAAUGAGCAUCUGGAAAACAAAGUUCUACACAUUAAGCCCUUCUACAGCCACGCCACUACCAUCCUCAUCUAUAAAAAUAUUGAAUAUAUAUUAACAAGAAAUCAUUUUUGAAGAAAAAAAAUAUAAUUAUUGAACUUUUAUACGUUUAAAUAUUCUACUAACCAAUGUGAGAACUUGAACCUUCCACUUCAUUUAUUGGAAUUGACCCUUCUUCAUAUAGAAGAUUUUCCAAUUCUUCAACAUCUAACUUUAUAGGUUGAUCCUUGUCAACUGUCCAAAAAUCGAUCUCAUCAAUGCAUGCAUAGUCAAUGGGAUCAUUGGUUCUUUUCUUGUUAUAGAACCUAAAAAAGAAAAGAAUAUAAUUAUUCAUAAUUGUGAAUAAAAGAAUUUAAAUUCAAAACAACUGAGAAAACAUUUAUACCGAUUUUUUAACCACAAAUUGUAAUGAACGUAUGCAAGAUCAUUAAGCCUUUGAUGUUCCAAUCUAUUCCUUCUUUUGAUAUGUAUACAUUCAAAGACACUCCAAUUCCUCUCACAUCCAAAAGAUGAUGCGGUUUGCCUUAAUAUUUGAAUGGCCAACUUUUACAAAUGUGGCGCACUGUAUCUAUGUAGCCUCCACCAUUCAUCUAGUUACCAUUUUCACAUUAAAAGUAAGAAAAAAAAAACAUUAGCAAGUUUAAAAUAUUAAAUAUUAAGUAGGAAAUUAAUGAAAAAGAACAAACAAAGUAAUAAAUUAAAACAAUCUUUUACUAGUUGAAGUACUUCAUGUGAAAAAUAAGCAAGGUCUCUUCCAAAACUUCCCAAUCGAUCACGAAACAACUUCAUUUCAUUCAUCGUAUCAAGCUUGCCUUUCAAAACUUUUUGACCAAUAACAUCCAUGACACCUCCAAUAAUAGUUGGCUUAUUACAAAAGUUUUCCUGAUCAUAUUAGAAAUAUGGAUUCAACCAAUAAGUUGUUGAUUGAAUGCUUUUCUUUAGUUGUUGAUCCCAACAUUGCUUUAUGAUCUCUAUAUAAGGCUUAUAUAGUCUUUUGUUGUGGUUAAAUAAUUUCUUGAUGCCCAAACGAGCCCUAUACAUGCCUUCAUACACAUAUCCCAUCAAAAGUCUCUCAUCACAAUCAACAAUACGCAAUAAGCGAUUAGUGGAGACAUAAGAUUCACAACUAUCAAACAAUCAUUCCAAAGUCUAUUAUCCAAGAUGAUGGAAACUACAACUCUACUUUUAUUAUCCCUUGAAUAUCUAGAGUCCACAAAAAACUUGCUAGUCACCAAAGCUUGCAAGCCAUGUUUAUGAUCAUGAAGACUCUUAAGUGCAAUGAAUGUAGUAGCAAAGUGAGUUACACUAGGUCGGGAAAUCUCUAUCCAUUCUUCUCUUUUUCUCAACCAACUUAACAAAACAACAUGGUUCUACAAAAAAAUUGUCACCUUUGAUGCACAUCUUACAAGUUCAACAACAUGGUCCAUCUUACCAAUACCCUUAAAGAUCAAAUUAAGAUAAUGAGUUGCACAAGGUAACCAACUAAUGUGUUUAUGCUUCUGAGAAAUCAAUCUCCCUACGGCCACAUAAUUUGUUGCAUUAUUAGUCACUACAUGAACUACAUCGAGUGGACCCACCCAUUCAAUCACCUCAUCAAAUAACUGAAACAAAUUAGUUGCAUCCUUGACAGUGUCUGAAGCAUCAACAAAUUUCACAAAUGAUAUUCCUUCAGGACAAUACAUAAGGAAGUUGAUGAGUGUUCUUUGUCUAUUAUCUACCCAACUAUCACCCAUUAUUGUGCACCCGACUUUUGCCCAAAUUGCAUGAUAAGAGUCCACAAGUAACUAAACUUCCUUCUUGGCAUUCUUUAAAAGAUUAACCCACAGCUGAUGAUAAUUUGGACCCUUAUAUCCAGGAUCAAUUGUAGAUAUAGCAUCCAAUAUUGGCUUGAAGUAGAAAGAAUUCACAGCAUUAGUAGGAAUGCAUGCAUUAUAAAAGAAUCUCCCAACCGCCAUACACUCUUCAUGGAAAGUUGAGCUCCUUGAGUAUUUCUUGGUGCAAAAUACUUAUCCACUAUUGAUUUUUCUUUUUUCUUUUUCCACUACUAGCUACCAUAGGAUUUUGCCUUUCUUGAACCUCUUCUUCAUCUUUUGCCAUAUCCCCUACAAAUUGUGACACAUUAGGACCAUAAGGAUUUCUAUAUUCAUAUGCUUCUUGGGAUGCUUUCUUAGAAUUCACAAACUCCUAUAAAGAAAUUUCCAUUUGAAAUAUGACAUUAACGGGAAUCAAUUUAAAUGGACUAAUAUUCCAUUUCAUUCAAACAAGAUGUUGCUUCAUUUUAUGAAUACGCUCACCUUUUGCAACCUUUUUACAAUACAAACAAACAAGAGUUUUCCUUCCAUUUGUAUAUCUUUCUUCACAAACAUGCUUCCAUGCAAGGUCGGUCUUGCUUCUAGUUGUUUGUGAAUUGGCAAUUGAAUCUUGACUAAAGGAUGGGGUCAAGUUUGAUUCCAUUUUUCAUUUUUCUAUCAAAUUGGAAACAAAAAUCACAAUUUUAAUAAUAAAAUUAAAGAAUCAAUUCAUCAACAAUUUACAAAAACCCCACAUCAAUCUAGAAACUCAAAGUCAUCAACAAUUUAAAAAAUCAAAGAAUUAAAAAUUUUGAAAUUUAUUAAAGAAAAUUUUUCAAAAUAAGAAAUUUACUUUAAAAUCAAAUAUUUAUUUAAAAUUUUAAAUUAAAAUUUUAUUUGAAAAUGAACAAAUUAUUUUAACUCCUAAUGUUUUAACUUUUCAAUAAUUUGAAUAAAUUAAAAUGUGCAAUAAAUAAACAAAAAAUGAAAAAUUAUAAAAAUUAAAUAUUAAACAUAAUGUCAAAAUUAUAAUCAACAAAACACACAUACACACACACACAUUCAUAAAAAAUAAUUUUCAAAAAAUAAAAAAUCAAACCUUUUGGAGCAACUGCUUCUACCGAUGGAGUUGAGGCAGCCAUGCAGUGGGGAAGUUGGGCUUUCCUACUGUGAGUGUCGCAGCCACCUAUGGGGGGAGGGGGGUUAACAACACUGCAAGGGAGUGGGGUGGGGGUGUUUUGUAGUCCGCCAGGGAAGCAACAUCCGACCAGUGGUAGCUCUAUGUUGGCGACAGUGGGCGGCUCCAGUUAGAGCAGCCGCACGAGGGGUUGUAGCAGGGGGAGGGUGGAAAAGAUUUUAUACUCAUCAAAACGGCAUCGUUUUGAUGUUGGGGAAAAAAAAUAAUUGAAUCGUUCGAUUCGAAAGGAAUCGAACGAUUCGUCGAUCGGACCGCUGAUUCAACUGGUCUGAUUCCGAUUCAACCUCUUUUCGGCCCAAUUGACCAGAUCAAAUCAAAACUGUGACUAGCCGACGAUCGGACUAGUCGAACCGACCAACGGUCUGAUUCGAUUUUUAAAACCAUGGUUAUAACCUAAAAUUAUGAUUUUGAAUCUAAUCAAAUAAUUAUUUUCCUUAUUUAUUAUACUUGAUUGACUCACAUGCAAGCCCAAAAAAGGUAGUGUAUUAGGGUUAUAACCUAAAAUUAUCUUAAUGUGCAUUGUUGGCCCACCAUUAUCAAACAACUUAAAAUUUUAAGACCAAUUAGUAGUUUAACAUCUUUUUUAUGAUGUUGUACCUUUAUUUCCUCUAUUUAUGGAGUCCACAUGCAAGCUUAAGAAAGGUUAUUAGCGAGGUGGGAUGUUAGAACGAUAACCCUUGUCUACGUGUAUAUUGUACCAUUACCUAAUAGCUUAAAUGUUUUUAAGUCAAAUUAGUAGCUUGAUUUACAACGUAGUUCUUAGUUGUUUCAUCUUUCUUGUUGUUAUGUGAUGUUCUAGAGAUUUUGAAAACAAAAGGUUUAAUUUUGCAUACAUUAGGACUCAAGUGGAUAUUCAUUAUCAUGAUCUUUUUACAUACAUAGAGGGUUUUUAUUUUAAGAUAGAGGUCUUAAAUUUUGGAUUCCAAGAACAUGAGUAUUCCUCCCAUUUUUCCUAGAGAUUUUCUGAAGGCUUGUUAAUGGAUGAAUGCAAAACUUUUGUGCAACAACACCAACCUUAAGUAUGCAAUAUUUUCUUAGAUUCACUAGGAAAAUAAGACAAAUAAUAAUAAUAAUACAAAUCCAACCUAGGACUCUCAAAUCCAAAGUCCCAAAUCACAUUAAAGAAAAAAAAAAACAUUUUUCUAUCAAGAUCUCUCCACCAGUUUUUCCCUGAUGAUGCAAGUAUAUUUAACAUAGGUAUCAAUUUAUUAAUUACCAAAUGGACCUAUAUAUGCCACAAUAAAGUUCUUUUACAAGAAUCUCUAGUCAUGGAAAAAAAAAUUAAGAAAAAAAGAAAAUUUGAUUCAUUUUCCUACAAUUUCAACACUGACUCAAUUUUUUCCAACCUUCUACAAGAACAAAAAUCUUCCACAUAAUGCUCAGAACCCCAAUUACACUUAAGUCUAUGUUACAAGUGUAGUUCAGAAUUUUUUGCCACGUGUUAUCUGAAAUAGGAGGCUACUUUUUUUGUUUUGUUAUUUCUCUUGUAACUAUAUAUAUAUAUGUAUAUAUAUAUAAAGAGAAAGAGAGAAAGAGUAGAAAAAGAUGAGCUUUUAUUUCUAGAGAGUGCACUUGUUAAAUGUGUGAGAAUUUUGAGACAGAGAGUAGUUUUCAUUUUAAGUUGGUGUUGCAAAUGUUGGUGUUGUUUCUUAGUGAAUUUGGGUGAUAAGCUUUUUCAUGGACGUAGAUCCGUAUUGGAUCGAACCAUGUAAAUUUGUGUCUUGAUUUAACGUUUAUGUUUUGUGUUUUUUGCUUAUUUGUUUUUUAGGCUUAACAAAGAGAGAUUCUUGUAAAGUUCAAGUGAAAGAAAAACUUAUCUGCAAGAGUAAAAUUGUAUCGGUCCAGAUAAUACCUAACAUUAGUUAUGAGAAUGCUCACACAAGUGCAUCUUAAAGUCAAUGUGUUUGGCCAUCUGUCCAAACACAUUAGCUAUCACAAUAUAAAUUAGUCAGUUCUUGUUGGAAGUCUAGAAAGCAUCACUAACACAUUAGCCAAAUAGCUUUCUUAAUUAUCUCCGUAGCCGGCCAGUAUGUAUAUUUUGUUUCAUUAGUUGACAAAGUAAUUGCAUAUUACAAUUUUAUUUUUAGGAUAAUAACACCUAUCGCAAAAAGUGAAGACAUGCCUUGUCUAAGACCUCCUUCUAUCAAUCCCCAAAAUUAUACGUAUAAACCAAUAUAACAAAUAUACAGAAAUGUCACUGCCUCUUUCCUAUAAUAAACUAAGUAGCAAUGGAUCUUUUUCUAAGGUGAUUUAUAUACCUUCUCACCAAAAUAACUACGUAAAAUGUUAGGGCUAAUGCACUCCAUUGCAUAUAUAAUGCUUCAAACCAUACUAACAUAAGAGGCACAUACAAUCUGUGCCCAACCCUCCUCCCUCUUUAUGGUAAAAAGGUGCUUCAAAUUUUGAAAAUGAACUACUAAUAUUAUGCUUACAAGCUUCAAAAAUUACACAAAAAAACAUUCUAGGACAAGUAAAAUUUGUCCACUUCUCAAUCUCUAUACGUCGACAUACCUAAUGUUUUCUUUGAAAUCACAAAAUAGUUCUUAACUUAAUUAGGUUAAAAAUACUCUUACAAAUAAUUAACUUAUCAUUACUAUGCAACAACUAACAAAUAAAUAAAGGGGUACAAGAAAUUUUUUUUUUUUUUUUGUGAUGAUCACAAUUAUCAUAUACUCACUCUUAUAUAUGAGGUAUCAUCAAUCAUGAAAGUAUCAAUAUAUCAUUUUGUGAAAAAAAGUUUCAACACUACCUGGAAAGUCCAAAAAUCAGCCACCGUCCUCCAUUAAUGAUAAUGGCUGCCCAAACUCAAAACCAACAUUGAAUAACCAUCCUUUAGCUUUAUAAAAGAGGAGGCUGGCUCUCAUUCUUGGCAUCUCUCCAGAGCAAAGAUCAGGGGUGUCAAGCUGUAGCUGAGAGAAAAUGGCGAAGGGCUUCAAUGGGGCCUUCUUUGGGCUUGUAGGCUAUUAGGUUUUGGGCCAUAGGGCUAAGUCUUGUGUUUGGGCUUGUUGGCUAUUAGGUUUCUGACCUAGUAAGAAUUUUAGUGUUCCUAGUUUGGUUGAUAGUGUUGGGAGAAAUAUGGGCUUUAUUGGGUUUGACAUAUUUGGGUCAUCCUCCACAUGAGAGGGAAACCCAACCCAACAGAUUGCUGUUUGAAAUUUGAGUCCGGUUGGGGUUUAUUUUAAGGUUCCUUUUCGGUGUGUUUAUAUGGGUUGGUUUUUUUUUUUUUUUUUUCAAGUAUGUACUUAUUAUUGUGGUUUGUUGUAAUUAUCACUACAAUUAAAAUUGUAAUAUUCUAGUGAGCUAUCUUUUCUCCAAGUCAAUUGACUAUGAAUUUAGGAAAGUGUUCCAACUCCGGUUGACAAAGACACUUCUUUUUUUCAUUAACCAUGCUAGUUGUCAAUAGAGAGAUUCAAUAAAAAGACAAUUAGGAAUAAUUUAAAAUACAGUAAAAGUUAUUUAAAAUUUUAUAUAUUUUCAAGCUAUUCAUUUUUUUUAAUAUUGAAGAGAAAAUAAAAGAAAAUCUACCUUCCACUAACAAUUGGAUAACGAAAUUAGUAUCGGCCUUCAAAGAAAAUCUACCUUCCACUAAUAAUUCAUGUUUGCUAAAGACCAAGUCUCCAAGUCAAUUAGUCACAAACUAAAUAAAAUAUUUACAAAUAGUUUCAAGUUCACAAAGUCACUUUUUUUGUCGGUCCUAGUAUUCUUCUCAUUCAUCAGAGUUUUUUAAAAUAUAUGUUUUUGGAACAUAAAUACAAAAAAAAAAAAAAAAAAAGGUAAAUCUUCCGACCAAAUUAAAACUUUGGAAUAAAUUAUUUUUAGUACUCUCUUUAUUCUAAGAAUAAAUUAAUAUUAAUUGAUAUUAAAAUAAAACUAAAAGUUACUUUAAAUAAAUCUAAUUUGCUUUCCUUAAACAUUUCUAU